GACGAACGCUGGCGGCGUGUCUAAUACAUGCAAGUUGAGCGCUGAAGGUUGGUACUUGUACCAACUGGAUGAGCAGCGAACGGGUGAGUAACGCGUGGGGAAUCUGCCUUUGAGCGGGGGACAACAUUUGGAAACGAAUGCUAAUACCGCAUAAAAACUUUAAACACAAGUUUUAAGUUUGAAAGAUGCAAUUGCAUCACUCAAAGAUGAUCCCGCGUUGUAUUAGCUAGUUGGUGAGGUAAAGGCUCACCAAGGCGAUGAUACAUAGCCGACCUGAGAGGGUGAUCGGCCACAUUGGGACUGAGACACGGCCCAAACUCCUACGGGAGGCAGCAGUAGGGAAUCUUCGGCAAUAGACGAAAGUCUGACCGAGCAACGCCGCGUGAGUGAAGAAGGGUUUCGGAUCGUAAAACUCUGUUGGUAGAGAAGAACGUUGGUGAGAGUGGAAAGCUCAUCAAGUGACGGUAACUACCCAGAAAGGGACGGCUAACUACGUG
rnacentral:rRNA from 1 species